UGAUUUCAGUCCAGCAAGACCCAUUUUGGACUUCUGACCUCCAGAAAGGUAAGAAAACAAGUCUGUGUUGCUUUUAGAAAUAAGUUUGUGGUAAUUUGUUACAGCAGCAAGAAGCAUUUAGCAGAUUCUGGCACAUAGUAAGUGUUCGUACAAUGUUAUUGUCUAUUCCUGCUCCCAUACUCCUUGGAAAGAACCGCUGAAAGGCAGAGACGCUUGGCUCCAUUCCCGGCUCCCCCACCAACUUGCUCUUAGUGAUUUUUUUUUUUUUUUUUUUUUUUUGAGCUGGUGUCUCACUNNNNNNNNNNNNNNNNNNNNNNNNNNNNNNNNNNNNNNNNNNNNNNNNNNNNNNNNNNNNNNNNNNNNNNNNNNNNNNNNNNNNNNNNNNNUGGUCUCGAACUCCUGAUCUUAGGUGGUCCACUCACCUUGGCCUCCCAAAGUGCUGGGAUUACAGGUGUGAGCCACCUCACCCAGCCCUUGGUGAUUUUUAAUAAGUCAUUUCUCCUCUUUGACCACCACGUUUGGUUAUUGCUGCCAGACCAAAUCACUGGGUCUCUCUGGUGACUCCUCAGGGAUGGGACCUAUCACUGUGUCAGUUCCCUCCACUUCUUGUCCCACCAAAACCCUGCUUCCUCCUCUACCCAUAUAACUGAGGUCCCAGCCUUGCUGCUGAGCCCACCUGAGUUAUAUGCCUAAUUUGUAAAAUUUCAUACUGAAGGCAUAAUCAUUCAGGUAUCUAGAAAAUGCACUGGUCACCAAUACUCAGAGAUCAUCUAAUUUAACAUACUUGUUUUGCAGAAGAGAGAAAGAAAACUCCGGGAGGGGAAAUGACUUAUUCAAAAUCACAGAGCAAGUUGGUAAGGAAGCCAGACAUGGAGGCAAGCAUCUCUGCCUCUCAGAGGGUUUUCUGUCAUGCUACACCCUCUGCACUAGCUCUAGUUUGCCUCCAAAUGCUGUUUUUUUCUUUUUUUUUCUUCACUUACAGCCAAUCUAAAAAGGGCCCUCAGGAUCGCCCACAAUGCCCAGCUUAGCUUCUUGACAAACACCUUAAUGGCGCAGCAUUGCCUGUUGGCUGCCGUCGGCUCUUGAGUGGGUGGUAAGUGCACUAGCGGGAAUUCCCUGGCGCUCUGCAGAAUGUCCUUGGCCCACUCCCAGGAGGCCACUACAAGCCAGAUGAUCACCAUACCCGGGGAGGUGGCACAUUUGGGGUUUUGGGUCAGCACUGGGAUGUCCAAGUUUUGCAGUUCUGGGGAGGCCUCUGCCCACAGUCAGGAGUGUGGCCAUGGUCUCAUUCACUCUCUGGAAAAGGAGAGGCCUUAGUCUUCCUCACCCUGUCCAAGGCCCUCCCGCAAAUCUGCCAAUUUUCUGUCCCCUGAGGCUCGACUUCUUGGUGAGUUAAGAAAAGGGAAAAGUGAAGACAAAGACCAGUGGCCAGGCCUCAGGGUUUUUAAAAUUUAAAUUAAAAAAAAUUUUUUUUUGAGACAUAGUCUUGCUCUUGUCACCCAGGCUGGAGUGCAAUGGCGUGAUUUUGGCUCACUGCAACCUCCGCCUCUCGGGUUCAAGUGAUUCUCCUGCCUCAGCCUCCUAAGUAGCUGGGAUUACAGGUGCCCACCACCACGCUCAGCUAAUUCUUUGUAUUUUUUAGCAAAGACAGGGUUUCACCAUAUUGGCCAGGCUGGUCUUGAACUUCUGACCUCAGGUGAUCCACCCACCUCAGCCUCCCAAAAGUGCUGGGAUUACAAGUGUGAGCCACUGCACCUGGCCUAAUUUUUUUAAGACAGGCUUUCACUCUAUGGCCCAGGCUGCAGUGCAGUGGUACAAUCUCUGCUCACUGUAGCCUCAACUUCUUGGGCUCAAGCAAUCCUCCUGCCUCAGCCUCCCAAGUAGCUGUGACUGUAGGUGUAUGCCACCAUACCCAGCUAAUCUUUGUAUUUUUUGUAGAGAUAGGGUUUCGCCAUGUUGCCCAGGCUGGUCUCAAACUCCUGGGCUCAAGUGAUCCUCCCAGCUUGGCCUCCCAAAGUGCUAGGGUUACAGAUGUGAGCCACCACAGCCAGACCAAGUCUCAGUUUCUUAACUGCAACAGGGAGAUGGUUGAACUAAAUAACCUGUAAGUCAUGUUAAAAAGUUCCAUUAUUUUAGCCUAAGUGGAUUGACUGUGAAGCCGAUCUUCUUGUUCCUCAUUGCCAGUCUUAAAGUCCAAAUUCUUUAGCAUGACACAACAACCCUUACAAUGUGAUGCCAAUGCACCUUUCUAGCCCUGUUUUCUUUUGUAGAGAUGGGGUUCUGCUCUGUCGCUCAGGCUGGAGUGCAGUGGCACAAUCAUAGCUCACUAUGACCUCAAACUCUUGGUCUCAAGCAAUCCUCCAGCCUCAGCCUCCUGAGAAGCUGGGAUUACAGGCGUGAGCCACUAUGCCUGGUUCUGCCAGCCUCAUGUUCUGUCCUGUACCUUCUACCCUUUAUUGCUCACCUCAAGUACCCCAACCUCUAGCUAUACUGACCUAAUUGUGUUGCCUGAGCAUAUCCUGCAGAGUCCUGCCUCUGUGCCUUUAUUUCAUUCCCUCUCCCUAGAAUUCCUUUCCCAUAUGUACUCUGGCCUCCCCAUGGUGCGCUACUUCAAAAUGCAACUUGAAUGCCACUUCAUCAGGGAGGGCUGUCUGUCCGGGGUUAAAUGGACUUUCUCUGUGCUCCCAAUGGCAUUAUAUGUAUCCUCAUUUAUAGCAUAUUUUGUAUUACAUUAUAAAUAAUGGUUUACAUGCCUGUAGUCCCCUUUGAACUCAUCCUCAUGGAAGUUACAGCUUGUGGGAGAGAUAGACAUGGAAAUACUAAACAUUUCAUUACAGUGGUGAUAAGUGGAAUGAAAGAGAAGAACCAGGAGCUACAAAAGUGUGUGGCAGGAGAUAUAGGCUGUGAUAUCAGGGAUGGCCUCCCUGAGUACAUGACAUCUCAGCUGACAUCUGUGAAUGAACAGAAGAGGCUAGGUGAAGGCUGAGAAUGAGACUCCAGGAAAGAGUACCUUACUGAAUUCCUGAAUGGGAAGGAGCCUGUAUAUUAGAAAAAGAGAGGGAAGGGCAGGGUGACUGGAGUCUAGUGACCAAUGGGGAGAAUGGGUGGUAUAAAAGGAAGUCAGAGAGAUGGGAAGGACUCAGUCAUGCAGGGCCUCAUCGGCUUCAUUAAGCAUGUUUUUGUUUUUGUUUUAGACAGGGUUUUGCGCUGUGGCCCAGGCUUGAGUGCGGUGGUGUGACCUCUGUCCACUGUAGCCUCAGCUUCCUGGGCUCAAGCAAUCCUCCUGCCUCAGCCUCCCAAGUAGCUGUGACUACAGGCACAUGCCACCACACCCAGCUAUUCUUUGUAUUUUUUUUGUAGAGAUGGGGUUUUGCCAUGUUGCACAGGCUGGUCUUAAACUCCUGGGCUCAAGCGAUCCUUGUGGG
rnacentral:lncRNA from 1 species